CAUUUCCAUAACACAUGAAUAUAAUACUGUUAUGCUAGAAUAUUAUAUUGUGCAUGAAAAAAGGGCGGUAAUAAACACCAUCCCGCCCCUUAGUCUUUUUUUUUUUUCAGUACUGAGAACUGAAAAUUUGUGAGACCCGAGAGACCCUUCGGCCAAAUCCUAAUUUCGUUUUGCUUCUCCCGGUCGUCGAGCCUGAUCGACUCGACUCUUUUCCCUGCCCCCCGGCCUCUCACUUCGUUUCGUUCUUCUUCUGUAUCGUCGCUUGAAUGAAGACACCCGAUCGGCCCGACUUUCCCAAAUGUCCACCACCGGCCCUUCUCCUUUCCGGGUCUGAAUUUUUCGUGGUCGACGGGGAAGAAAGAAAUGAAUGAAUGUUCUGAGACCCGAGACCUUCAAAGGCCAGGUUUUUCUUCUUUUCCUCUUCAUUUGUUUAUAAUGGUUUUCAUUUUAUUUUCUGUUCAGUUUCUGGGAUUUUAAAUCUUUUUCGUUUUGUUUUUGAAAUUGGUAAAUAGAGUUCUGGUAAAUCUUUGGUGUUGGAAAGCGUGGUGGGCAGAGAUUUCUUGCCUCGUGGAUCUGGUAUUGUUACGAGGAGGCCACUGGUGUUGCAACUUCAUAAGAUAGAAGAUGGUCAGACUGAGUAUGCGGAGUUUCUUCAUGCUCCUAGAAAGAAGUAUACUGAUUUUGCUGCUGUGCGUAAGGAGAUCCAAGAUGAGACAGAUCGUAUUACUGGGAAAUCUAAGCAAAUAUCUAACAUUCCAAUUCAUCUGAGCAUAUAUUCUCCAAAUGUUGUAAACUUGACAGUCAUAGAUCUUCCUGGGUUGACAAAGGUUGUUGUAGGUAAUAAUUUUCUCUAAUCUAUAUAAUGAAUAUAUAAUAUCAAGUAACAAAUUUUGGCUGUUGCAGAGGGACAACCGGAAG